UACGUAGGGGCUAGCGUUAUCCGGAAUUACUGGGCGUAAAGGGUGCGUAGGUGGUUUCUUAAGUCAGAGGUGAAAGGCUACGGCUCAACCGUAGUAAGCCUUUGAAACUGGGAAACUUGAGUGCAGGAGAGGAGAGUGGAAUUCCUAGUGUAGCGGUGAAAUGCGUAGAUAUUAGGAGGAACACCAGUUGCGAAGGCGGCUCUCUGGACUGUAACUGACACUGAGGCGCGAAAGCGUGGGGAGCAAACAGGAUUAGAUACCCCGGUAGUCCCUGAGCGGG
rnacentral:rRNA from 1 species